rnacentral:lncRNA from 1 species
AAAUGCACACACAGUACAUACAUAGUUUAAUAAUGUCCAAAAAUAUUCACUACUUGUCGAUUUCCUUUGGUGGCUUCACAAUAAGGAUGGGGCAUUUUGCAUGAUGGGCACAAUAGUAACUUACACUGCCCAACAAUGCCCUGCAAUUAGUAAAAAUAAAUUAGAUUGAAACAAUCAAAUCUAUUUUCUUAUUGAUAAUAAAAGGAUUUUGAACCGGGCGAACCGAGUAAGCCAAAGACUGAACGGCACAAAAGACCGAACGGCACAAAAGAACGAAUAGCUAGUUAAAGCCGGUCAAAGCCUGAGCAAUAUCUAAAUCCCAUCUAAAUAUAGCGCUUAAUGUAACUUAAAUACAAAGCUCAAUAUAACGUUCAGUCAAACAGAGUUAUUGAAAGUUAUCAAUGACCAAUAUUCUUGUUCAGUCAAACAAAUUCAUUGAAAGUUAUUAAUGACCAAUAUUCUUGUUCGGCUUUCAUGAUUAAGAUUUUUAUCAUAAAAUUCGUUUGGUCAGUUACAGUCUAAAUGAUACUAUAAAUAAGUGUAUAAGAACAGGGAAAGAUUAUCAGAUUUCAAAUUAAUAACAAACACAUCCUUUGAGUAUUUUCUCAGUUUGCUCUCGUCACUUAUUAUUGCAUAUGCAUUUGUUUAUAAAAAUUAGAUCAAUUUUAUAAAAUCACUUCUCGGGUAAUUAUAAUUAUAUCUGUAAAAACGUUACUUCGUGGAAAAGAGAUUGAAACAAUAAGAAACGAGACCUCUUAAUUUUCCCAAGACCGCGGCUGCCAACCACAACGAGAUCAACCUGCAUUUGCUCUGUAGCUUUACAAAUCAUGUCCUUCGCAUCCCCUUCAAGAAUUAGACUUUCUGCUUUCACCUGCAUAAUUAUAUAGUUAAUGCAUUAAUAUUUAAUUACUUGAGGAUAUAGUAAUUAAUGCCUCAUUACUUAAUUGGAAGAUACUAAUUAAUUAGUAGUUACCAUUUUUUCAUCGCACAUCUUUAAUGCUCGGGAGACUAUUGCUGCAGAAUUUUCUUGCUGAGCUUUCUUCACAGAAUCCGCUAUUGAAGACGGUGUGUAAAGAGCUGCUUUAAAAAAAAAAAGGUAAUUAAUGAAUUUAUUUGCAUGUUUUUUCAUGUGCAUAUUGUAUACAAGUAAAUAACUAUGUUAAGAAUAAUCGCUCUGAAAAGGAUUAGUUUCUUGUCGUACCCUUAAAGGGAGGGUUAAAGAAUAUAAAAAAGUAAAUAACUAUGUACAGAAAAGGGUUUUAAAAAUUAAACCUGCUCCAGCAGGACCAAGAGGGACGAUACUAGUCUGGAAAGAAUGUUGGACAUGAACUAGUGUAACCAUAUCUGAAUCUUGACUAACACCUUUGAUUAUAAGGUUAUCAAGGGUCCAUUUUAGAGCAUAGAAGCUCGUAUCACUCUCAUCAAGUGCCACCAUCACCUUCUUCUUCUGCCUCUGCUCCUGCUUCUGCUCCAUUAACACUGCACCUUCUUCUGUCUCCAUUCCCAAAGACUUAUUUUCUCUCUCAAUUUAUGUCUCGGAGUUAGUUUUAAUAUGUACAUAUAUGGUCAAUAGGAUACAGUUGAGGCGUCAUGUGGAGUCUUUGUUUGAUUGAAAUUUGGACACAUGGUGUUCAUGCAGGUGCAAAGUUACAAACGUUUCAUGCAUGGAAAAACAAAUGGCUGAGCUCAGCUGCGAGGAUUAUGUUUGUUAAAAUGCCUAGCUUUAACGGGAAUUUUCAUUUGCUACUUAUAUCUUGUCAGUCUUUGCAUUUGUACGGGGAGUUAAAGAUCUCUGAUUUACAUCACCUGUUGAAGUUAAUCAUAUCUAUAAUUAAAUUAUAUUUUUUAUCUUUCUAAAAUUAACUAUUUAAUCCUUUAAAAAAAAAAAAUACAAUCAUACAUCCUCUUGCUCUGGUCUCAUUUAGCUAAUAAGUCCUUCGGUUUAAAAUUUAUAGUUUUGCUAUUGAUUUUCAAUAGAAAGACCAAAAUGCCGUUUAUUCUAUUCCUGCUGCACUUAUAUAAACAAAUUUUUUAAUAAAUUAAAAAAUUAAGUUUUGACUUAGCAUAUAAAGUUUUUUAAUCUUUUUCAUAAUCACUAAGAUGUAUUUUUUUGAAUUGUCUCAAAUCAUAGACGAAGUAAUAUAUUUUAAAAAAUAUAUUAAAUAGUUGACUUUAGAAAUUCGUCCCAAGAUAAACAUUUUAGUCCUUAAGUUGCAAUAUUAAAUUAUUCUAUUUAUAGUCAUUAAAAAUUAUAAAAUGACUUGAACAGUUUGGUCUAUACUGCCAUUAGUCUUUGAUCGUACCUAAAAUAUUUUUCAAGCGUCGUCUUCAAACACUCCUUCUACGCAUUCUAGAAAGGGAUUUGAAAUUCUUCCGUUUCCUCUAAUUCCAGGAAAUUGGAAAAGCAGACCUUUGACAGAAUGAAUUACAUUCAAUAACAGAAAAAAAUACACAUUUUUUUAAUUUUAUAUUUUCCCAUACAGCUCAUAGAAAUAAAAUUACAUAUUUAGGCCCCCCACCCCCCUCCCCCCCCCCCCCCCCCCCCCCCACCACCACCACCACAACAACAUCAUUAUUAAUACAAAAGAAAUAUCCGAACUAAAAACUAUCCUAAGUUAUAAAACAUUAUACUGCAAACAUGAUAAAUACGCACAUCCGACCCAACUGUUGGUUUUCAAUUCUAAUGUCUAAUCUGAAAGGCCCUUCUUCAGAAACUGAUUUGGUACUAUUGUUUCGAGCCAAUUCGAUACAGAUUUGGAGUGGUAGAAACAUGAAAUCGGACACAACCGGUCAUGGUCAUUCCGGUCCAGUUCAAAUCAAAAUUCUCAACCUGAUUUUAAUUCAAACCAGACCCGUAAUUACCUUACCUUAGCCCAAGAAAACAGGGUUGAUUACCAGGAUAACUACUUAAAUGUUAAAACAAGUAAACAAAGCUAAACUAUAGUUUACAUUUUGUAAUAGUAAUUGUGACCAAAAUAUUCACUGGUUGCUGGCGGUCUCCUUUGGUGGCUUCACGAUAAGGAUGGGACAUUUUGCAUGAUGGGCACAAUAGUCACUUACACUGCCCAAAAAUGCCCUGCAAUUAGUGAAACAGGUAAAAUUAAUUUCCAUUAAUUGAGAAGGCUAAGAAUAAAAAACUGGUAAAAUACUCGUGUGCCCAUUCAAUUAUUCCAUUUGCAACAAUAUUACUAUUAUAUUUUAAAUAUAUUAUGUACAAUUAUAAUCCUUUUAUUUACUAAUAAAAAGCGUUAAAAAUGGUAAAUAUACAAAAAUGUCCUGCAGAUCCGGUAUCCGAAAAUCACUCAUCUCGGACUGCAUCGAAAUCACUCAUCUCGCACUGCGUCGUCGAACUUGAAUACCACAGAGUCGGGCUUGAAUUCCUCGAGGUAGAGUCCAUGUAGAGGUGACUCGAGGUAGAGUCCAUGUAGAGGUGACUCGAGGUAGGGUGGCGACGGUUCCGGAACUGCAGGUUUCGAUUUGAGAACCAAACCGAAAAUUAACGGUUUCGGUUCCUCAACGGUUCUAAAAUCGAGGAUUUUGGCCCGUUCUUCGGCUGGUUUUCCGACAGUUCCAGCCAGUUUCUGACAGAACUAGAAUCUUCGGUUCUAACUGGAGCUGGAACCGCCAGCUCAUAGUUCCAAACUGGUGGAACCGAAAUCAAAUCGGUUUGGAUGGGUUCUGGUUCCGGUUCGGACCGGUUCCAAACCUAUGAUUCUGGUCCGAAAACCUGAUUUUGGCCACCCUAACUCGAGGUGACUCUCUUUGCAUAAUAAUUUUCAUGCCCAAAACUCAAACUCCAAAACUCUCCAAACCUUUUGUUAAAGAGAAAACUCAAACUCCAAAUUUCUUGUUAAAAGAGAAAGUAUUCCGACCACUCCAUGAUUACUCCAUAUGAAUGGUUGGUAUGGAAUCCAGUUGUUUUAGGUAUAAAAACUCUACUAUAAAUAUACCAAAUACAAAAAAAAAAAAAAAAAAAAAAAAAGGAGAUUUGAUAAUUCUUCUUUCAAAAAAAAAAAAAAAAAAAAAAGAAGUUUUAAUAUUUUUUUUUAAAAAAAAAAAAAAAAAAGGAGAUAUGCUAAUUUAAACAAUAAGAACUAAGAAAUAA